rnacentral:rRNA from 1 species
AGCGAACGCUGGCGGCAGGCUUAACACAUGCAAGUCGAACGCUCGUCUUCGGACGGGAGUGGCAGACGGGUGAGUAACACGUGGGAACGUACCCUUUGGUUCGGAAUAACGCAGGGAAACUUGCGCUAAUACCGGAUACGCCCUUUUGGGGAAAGGUUUACUGCCGAAGGAUCGGCCCGCGUCUGAUUAGCUAGUUGGUGGGGUAACGGCCUACCAAGGCGACGAUCAGUAGCUGGUCUGAGAGGAUGAUCAGCCACACUGGGACUGAGACACGGCCCAGACUCCUACGGGUGGCUG